rnacentral:siRNA from 1 species
UCCGGUGAAAUCCUAGCUGCAGAC